rnacentral:piRNA from 1 species
UAAGAGAAGAAUAUAUGUAUCUGGUUUGCA